UUGACCUCGAAUCAGGUAGGGAUACCCGCUGAACUUAAGCAUAUCAAUAAGCGGAAGAAAAGAAACCAACCGGGAUUACCCUAGUAACGGCGAGGGAAAGCG
rnacentral:rRNA from 1 species